AGGGGUACCCAGCACAUUCACCAUGGUGUGGACCAUCGCCAGGAUCCAUUUUGAGGAUUAUGGGUGCUGGGACACCAUCAACUCCUCACUGUGGUGGAUCAUAAAGGGCCCCAUCCUCACCUCCAUCUUGGUAAACUUCAUCCUGUUUAUUUGCAUCAUCCGAAUCCUGCUUCAGAAACUGCGGCCCCCAGAUAUCAGGAAGAGUGACAGCAGUCCAUACUCGAGGCUAGCCAGGUCCACACUCCUGCUGAUCCCCCUGUUUGGAGUACACUACAUCAUGUUCGCCUUCUUUCCGGACAAUUUUAAGCCUGAAGUGAAGAUGGUCUUUGAGCUCGUCGUGGGGUCUUUCCAGGUAUGGGCUGUUGACUUAAGGCUGCAUUCUUCCCUGGCUUUUAAGGGAAUUCAACCUGGAGUCUUGGCCCUUGCCACUGGAUUCCAAUCUUUUUACUGUAAUAAGUAUUAGAUAAGCACCUACUUUGUGCUUAGCUCUUUCCUUAACCAGGGGAACACAGGGGCUGGAGCCAGGGGUGGGGCAGGG
rnacentral:lncRNA from 1 species